rnacentral:rRNA from 1 species
UGGUAAUGCCGGAUGCUCCAGUUGAUCGCAUGGUCUUCUGGGAAAGCUUUCGCGGUAUGGGAUGGGGUCGCGUCCUAUCAGCUUGACGGCGGGGUAACGGCCCACCGUGGCUUCGACGGGUAGCCGGCCUGAGAGGGCGACCGGCCACAUUGGGACUGAGAUACGGCCCAGACUCCUACGGGAGGCAGCAGUGGGGAAUAUUGCACAAUGGGCGCAAGCCUGAUGCAGCGACGCCGCGUGAGGGAUGGAGGCCUUCGGGUUGUAAACCUCUUUUAUCGGGGAGCAAGCGAGAGUGAGUUUACCCGUUGAAUAAGCACCGGCUAACUACGUGCCAGCAGCCGCGGUAAUACGUAGGGUGCAAGCGUUAUCCGGAAUUAUUGGGCGUAAAGGGCUCGUAGGCGGUUCGUCGCGUCCGGUGUGAAAGUCCAUCGCUUAACGGUGGAUCCGCGCCGGGUACGGGCGGGCUUGAGUGCGGUAGGGGAGACUGGAAUUCCCGGUGUAACGGUGGAAUGUGUAGAUAUCGGAAAAA